GACUGCCAUGUUGAUGAAUAAUGAAGAUAAAGAUGCUUUGCCGAAAGAAUCUUUCACAUGACUAACAUAACUUAGUUGUUGUGAUUUUCUCUCUCUUCUUUAUUACUCUGAUGCCACUAUUCCCUGUGUGGAAUUUGAAUGGCCAUUACUAAUCCUACUAUUAAUUAGGAUGAGAUCAGCAAUCUUCACGAGAUGGCCUUGCGGGUCAUUAUUUGGGUAGCCAUUUGGAAAUGCGAUAGCCAUUUAUAUA
rnacentral:lncRNA from 1 species